CCUGCCCCUAGAUGUGUUGCAGGUGUGACUGCUGUGUCACUUGUGCCUUAAUAGGUAGAAGAGAAGAGAAAGGCUAUGCCUAAGUUCAGUGUUCUGACCUAUGACCACCUGAAGGAUUAGUAGACUAGCAUU